AGUGAACGCUGGCGGUAGGCCUAACACAUGCAAGUCGAACGGCAGCACAGUAAGAGCUUGCUCUUACGGGUGGCGAGUGGCGGACGGGUGAGGAAUACAUCGGAAUCUACUUUUUCGUGGGGGAUAACGUAGGGAUACUUACGCUAAUACCGCAUACGACCUACGGGUGAAAGCAGUGGAUCUUCGGACCUUGCGCGAUUGAAUGAGCCGAUGUCGGAUUAGCUAGUUGGCGGGGUAAAGGCCCACCAAGGCGACGAUCCGUAGCUGGUCUGAGAGGAUGAUCAGCCACACUGGAACUGAGACACGGUCCAGACUCCUACGGGAGGCAGCAGUGGGGAAUAUUGGACAAUGGGCGCAAGCCUGAUCCAGCCAUACCGCGUGGGUGAAGAAGGCCUUCGGGUUGUAAAGCCCUUUUGUUGGGAAAGAAAAGCAGCAGGUUAAUACCCCGCUGUUCUGACGGUACCCAAAGAAUAAGCACCGGCUAACUUCGUG
rnacentral:rRNA from 1 species